AUGAACGCUAGCGACAGGCUUAACACAUGCAAGUCGAGGGGCAGCGGGGGUAGCAAUACCCGCCGGCGACCGGCGCACGGGUGAGUAACGCGUAUGCAACUUACCUAUCAGAGGGGGGGAUAACCCGGCGAAAGUCGGACUAAUACCGCAUAAAGCAGGGGCCCCGCAUGGGGAUAUUUGCUAAAGAUUCAUCGCUGAUAGAUAGGCAUGCGUUCCAUUAGGCAGUUGGCGGGGUAACGGCCCACCAAACCGACGAUGGAUAGGGGUUCUGAGAGGAAGGUCCCCCACAUUGGUACUGAGACACGGACCAAACUCCUACGGGAGGCAGCAGUGAGGAAUAUUGGUCAAUGGGCGUAAGCCUGAACCAGCCAAGUCGCGUGAGGGAUGAAGGUUCUAUGGAUCGUAAACCUCUUUUAUAAGGGAAUAAAGUGCGGGACGUGUCCCGUUUUGUAUGUACCUUAUGAAUAAGGAUCGGCUAACUCCGUGCCAGCAGCCGCGGUAAUACGGAGGAUCCGAGCGUUAUCCGGAUUUAUUGGGUUUAAAGGGUGCGUAGGCGGCCUUUUAAGUCAGCGGUGAAAGUCUGUGGCUCAACCAUAGAAUUGCCGUUGAAACUGGGGGGCUUGAGUAUGUUUGAGGCAGGCGGAAUGCGUGGUGUAGCGGUGAAAUGCUUAGAUAUCACGCAGAACCCCGAUUGCGAAGGCAGCCUGCCAAGCCAUGACUGACGCUGAUGCACGAAAGCGUGGGGAUCAAACAGGAUUAGAUACCCUGGUAGUCCACGCAGUAAACGAUGAUCACUAGCUGUUUGCGAUACAGUGUAAGCGGCACAGCGAAAGCGUUAAGUGAUCCACCUGGGGAGUACGCCGGCAACGGUGAAACUCAAAGGAAUUGACGGGGGCCCGCACAAGCGGAGGAACAUGUGGUUUAAUUCGAUGAUACGCGAGGAACCUUACCCGGGUUUGAACGCAUUCGGACCGAGGUGGAAACACCUUUUCUAGCAAUAGCCGUUUGCGAGGUGCUGCAUGGUUGUCGUCAGCUCGUGCCGUGAGGUGUCGGCUUAAGUGCCAUAACGAGCGCAACCCUUGCCACUAGUUACUAACAGGUUAGGCUGAGGACUCUGGUGGGACUGCCAGCGUAAGCUGCGAGGAAGGCGGGGAUGACGUCAAAUCAGCACGGCCCUUACAUCCGGGGCGACACACGUGUUACAAUGGCGUGGACAAAGGGAGGCCACCUGGCGACAGGGAGCGAAUCCCCAAACCACGUCUCAGUUCGGAUCGGAGUCUGCAACCCGACUCCGUGAAGCUGGAUUCGCUAGUAAUCGCGCAUCAGCCAUGGUGCGGUGAAUACGUUCCCGGGCCUUGUACACACCGCCCGUCAAGCCAUGGGAGCCAGGGGUACCUGAAGUCCGUAACCGCGAGGAUCGGCCUAGGGUAAAACUGGUGACUGGGGCU
rnacentral:rRNA from 1 species